GCUCCGGUAGCACAAUUGGUUAGUGCGUUGGACUUUUAAGGAAGACACGAAAUAUGGUCAUCCAAGUCAUCCAAAGGUUGCGGGUUCGACCCCCGCCUGGAGCG